UCUGGGGCACGUAUUCUACGGGAGGCAGCAGUAGGGAAUUUUCGGCAAUGGGCGCAAGCCUCGAUCACAGAGACAACGCCGCGUGAGUGAUUAAGGCCUUCGGGUUGUAAAGCUCUGUUGUAAGGGAAGAAAAAUCAGUAGAGGAAAUGAUACUGAUCUGACGGUACCUUACCAGAAAGCCACGGCUAACUACGUGCCAGCAGCCGCGGUAAUACGUAGGUGGCAAGCGUUAUCCGGAAUUAUUGGGCGUAAAGGGUGCGUAGGCGGUUUAUUAAGUCUAUGGUGAAAGUGCGGGGCUCAACCCCGUAUGGCCAUAGAAACUGAUAGACUAGAGUGCAGGAGAGGGCAAUGGAAUUCCAUGUGUAGCGGUAAAAUGCGUAGAUAUAUGGAGGAACACCAGUGGCGAAGGCGGUUGCCUGGCCUGUAACUGACGCUGAAGCACGAAAGCGUAGGGAGCAAAUAGGAUUAGAUACCCUAGUAGUCCACGCCGUAAACGAUGAAUACUAAGUGUUGGAGAAAUUCAGUGCUGCAGUUAACGCAAUAAGUAUUCCGCCCUGGGGGAGUAUGCACGCAAAGUGUGAAACUCAAAGGAAAUUGACGGGACCCCGCACAAGCGGUGGAUUAUGUUGUUUAAUUCGACGCAACGCGAAGAACCUUACCAGGCCUUGACAUACUCAGCAAAACCCUAGAGAUAGGGUGGCAAGGUUAUCUGGGAAUACAGGUGGUGCAUGGUUGUCGUCAGCUCGUGUCGUGAGAUGUUGGGUUAAGUCCCGCAACGAGCGCAACCCUUGUCUUUAGUUACCAUCAUUCAGUUGGGGACUCUAGAGAGACUGCCGGUGAUAAACCGGAGGAAGGUGGGGAUGACGUCAAAUCAUCAUGCCCCUUAUGGCCUGGGCUACAAACGUAAUACAAUGGCGUAUACAAAGGGAUGCGAAAGGGUGACCUGGAGCAAAACUCACAAAGUACGUCUCAGUUCAGAUUGGAGUCUGCAACUCGACUCCAUGAAGGCGGAAUCGCUAGUAAUCGCGGAUCAGCAUGCCGCGGUGAAUACGUUCUCGGGCCUUGUACACACCGCAUACACAUGAGUG
rnacentral:rRNA from 1 species